GACGAACGCUGGCGGCGUGCUUAACACAUGCAAGUCGAACGGAGAGGCCCUGCUUUUGUGGGGUGCUCGAGUGGCGAACGGGUGAGUAACACGUGAGUAACCUGCCCUUGACUUUGGGAUAACUUCAGGAAACUGGGGCUAAUACCGGAUAGGAGCUCCUGCUGCAUGGUGGGGGUUGGAAAGUUUCGGCGGUUGGGGAUGGACUCGCGGCUUAUCAGCUUGUUGGUGGGGUAGUGGCUUACCAAGGCUUUGACGGGUAGCCGGCCUGAGAGGGUGACCGGCGAAAAGGGGAGAGAGAUAGAGGACGGACGGAUGCGGGAGGCAGAAAGGGGGCGGAUCGGGCAAGGGGCGGAGGCCUAGAACAGGCACGCGGCGGGGCGGAUGGGUGCCGGCGGGUGGUAGACAUAUUAGGCCUGUGAGACAGAGUGAGUGAAGGUAAAGUAUAAAGCAGCAACGGCUAACUCGGCG
rnacentral:rRNA from 1 species